rnacentral:rRNA from 1 species
GAUAACGAGAUGGAAAGAGCAGGAGGAAUAGGAUGGGUGGAAGGGGUAAUCGGGAUUACCGGGGGUUAAGCGCGGGUAGGGUGGUUCGUAAGGUGGAAGGGGAAGCCCCGGGCUCAACCUGGGAACUGCGUUCAAAAGUGCUGAGCUAGAGUACGGUAGAGGGUGGUGGAAUUUCCUAGGUAGCGGUGAAAUGCGUAGAUAUAGGAAGGAACACCAGUGGCGAAGGCGACCACCUGGACUGAUACUGACACUGAGGUGCGAAAGCGUGGGGAGCAAACAGGAUUAGAUACCCCGGUAGUC